CUACGGGCGGCAGCAGUGAGGAAUAUUGCACAAUGGGGGGAACCCUGAUGCAGCAACGCCGCGUGGAGGAUGACGCAUUUCGGUGUGUAAACUCCUUUUAUAUGUCAAGAAAAUGACGGUAGCAUAUGAAUAAGCACCGGCUAACUCCGUGCCAGCAGCCGCGGUAAUACGGAGGGUGCAAGAGUUACUCGGAAUCACUGGGCGUAAAGGACGCGUAGGCGGGUUGGAAAGUCAGGCGUGAAAUCCUACAGCUUAACUGUAGAACUGCACUUGAAACUUCUAAUCUAGAGUAUGGGAGGCGGAGAUGGAAUUAGUGGUGUAGGGGUAAAAUCCGUAGAUAUCACUAGGAAUACCUAAAGCGAAGGCGAUCUCCUGGAACAUUACUGACGCUAAGGCGUGAAAGCGUGGGGAGCAAACAGGAUUAGAUACCCCUGUAGUC
rnacentral:rRNA from 1 species